rnacentral:misc_RNA from 1 species
AAAGUUGACGGAUGCAUCAUUUACGAGAGAUCGUAUUAUAUAUCUCGUUUAUUUUUCUUCUCGUUGUUUAUUAUAACCGUGAAAUCUUAUAAGAUAUAAUAAUAAACUCUUGUUAUUUUUUUUUCUUAUAAUAAUAAUUAUUAUUAUUAUAUGUCUAACUGUACGUAUAUAGGUGUGCAUUAAACACCCGUUAGAAUAUGUGCUCGGUUUCUUUCUUCUUUUUUUUUGGUUUUACGCGAGAUAAAUUAUUUCUAUAUUUGAUUUAAUAUUUAAUAUUGUGUGACGCGCUGCUCGUGCGAAAAAGAAACGACAUAUAUAUAUAUAUAUAUAUUUUUAACAAAAUAAAUAUUUUCUUUCUAUUGCGAAGAAAGAAAAAAAAAAAAGAUAAUACAAUAUUAUAUUGUUUUUUUUUUUUUUAAUAGCAACGUGUUGUGUGUUUUCUAAUUUAAAGAUUAAAUCAUAGAAUCAUGUAUUCCCGACGACGCAUCUUCUGCUAUGUAUCGGAGUAAAAAUUUGAAAUACGCGCUAAACGAUAGCGUUGUGUCACGUGACGGUGCGGCUUAUUGACCAAGCCGUACACUAACGCGAAUGGUCAAUUUUGGUCACGUGACUAGUGGUAACGUCAAGUCGGGUUACCGUCUGCUUUUCGAUCGAACGGAUAUCUCAACGGGCCUUCGAAGGACAAAGAAUUCGUGAAUAAGAGCUUGAAACGUUUACACCUUAUCUAAUAUAUCUUACUUUGUCACAAUUUAAUUGUGCUCGUUUUAUUAUACGAAAAAGAAAAAAAAGAAGAAGAAGAAGACAAAAAAAUCAUUAAAAAGAAACAAUAAUAAUAGAUUCGUUUUGAGAAAAGAAGAAAGAAGAAAAAAAUAAAAUAAAUAAAAAUAAAAAUAAAUCAGCUGUGCGUGCGUGUGGGAAUAAUUUUCGCGCGAUUACGAUCAUUUUGACAGUUCUCAACGUUUAUUCAGUUUGACAGUGUCAUUUACGAAAUAGUCAAGAAUUUAAAUGUUUGUUACAAAAGUCGAUUAUUUCGUAGAAGAAUAAUUCAUUUUCUAUUCAGUAUUAUUUUAAAGUGUCAUCUCGAAAUAAAUCAAUUAACACGUAGUGAUGAUGAUGAUGAUGAUGAUGAUGAUUAAACAUGGUUAAGUAAAACUAAUUAACGUUGUCAAGAUAUUAUUAAUUAUUAAAACGGAAUAUUGAGAUUCGUUGAGAAAGGAUAGAAGAUAAAGUUCUUUUUCCUUUUCUUAUUCUUCUUUGUCUUUGUCUUCGUCGUCGUCGUCGUCGUCGUAUUAAACGUCAACGUCAACGUCUCAGUGAUUUAGUAUUAUUUAUUGGAAUUUGAUCGUCGAAUCGCAGGUCGAAUUUCUCUCGUUUGUUAUUAACGACGAUCGGUUAAUUGAUUAUGAUGUACAAGAUGAACUACAUCGGGAAAUUUAUUAGUAAUUUUCGCGACUUUUACAAUGAAAUCAAUGCGGCAACGUUAACUGGUGCAAUUGACGUCGUUGUCGUCGAACAAGCUGACGGAUCUUUCACCUGUUCACCCUUUCACGUUCGUUUCGGCAAACUCGGUGUACUCCGUUCCAGAGAAAAAGUGGUGGACAUUGAAAUCAAUGGAGAACCAAGACAAAUUCAUAUGAAAUUGGGAGACUCCGGUGAAGCUUUCUUUGUCGAAGAAGUUAGUUCCAAUGGUUCGCCAACCGAUACAGAAAUUCCACCACAUCUGGCAUGUUCGCCAAUUCCAGACGACAAUUGUUUUCCAUCGGCUGGAUUUAAUCCUUUAUCAGAUCUUCCUCAAGAACAGAGGGACAAGAUACUCAUAGAUUCGGUUUUGUCGAUAGAGAGAGAAAAAUGGGAACAAAUGUCUGCCUUGCCACCCGAAGAAAGAGAAAAAUUUUUGAUAGAACAAUUUGCCGAUCUUCCAGCAGAACAUCGCGACAAAUGGCUUCAAAUAGCAUCAUUGACGCUCGAAGAAAGAGACGAAAUGUUUAAACAAAGUUUCGGUACUAUUUCUACUUUGCAAAAACAACAAAUGAUACGAGAACAAUAUUCCGCUUUGAAAUUGGAGGAAAAGGAAAGAUUGUUUAAAGAAAACUUUCCUGAACUUCCUGCCGAACAAAGGCAUAAGUUUGAGAAGGCACUGUUGAGCGACUGGAAACAAAAGGAUGAUGAAAAAUGGAAUAAUAAAUCUAAUGCGUUGAAGAAUAACGAAGAAGAAAUUUUUGACAUGGAAGGUAUCAAUGAUGACGAUGAAUCCCAACCUAUAGCAUCCAUACCUAAAUCAUUCGUAGCUGUUACAUCCGAGGACAAGAUACGUAAAAUCAGCGUUGUAAAGAAUGAUUUUAUACCUAUAUCUAACGACAUUCAGGAUAAUGAAAAAGGAAAAUCAAGUUACGAAUCUAAUAAUUCGUGCGUUAUCAAGCAGAGAAUUCGUAAAAUUGGUGUUGUUAGUAAUGAUUUUAUUCCAAUAAUGGAUGAUUCGCAAAGAAGCAGUAAAGAAAAGUCAAGCGACGAGUCUAAUUCGUCUUCUAAUAAAAAAUUGUCGAGAGAUGAGACUGGGGAGGAAUCUAAAAUUAAUAAUUCCACUAAGAGAAAGAGAAAGAGGAAGAGCAUCAUGAGGAAGAAGGGUUCGCAGAGAAAAACUAGUAACGGUAGCAGUAGCCAAACCGAAAUGAGUGAAACUGACAUCAAUGCUACGGAAGAAUCUCCUCACAGUGAAUCUAUUUUGAAAGGACCAAGUCCGGUAAUAGAAAUCGACUCGAAGAAGGACUCCCCAGGUAUUAUAACUUCAGCGGAAGAAAUUUUGGAGAAACGUCCAGAAACUGACUUCCAUUUCUUCAGCGAUACAGAAAUAACUAAGAACCAAGAUUCUAGGCCAUGUUCACCAAUACAAUCAGAUACAGAAUUUGAAAUGCGUAAAAUCACGCAAGAGGGUUGUGAACAAGAAGAUGAUAAGGCUCAUCAACAGAGUUGGAAAUGGGGAGAAUUGCCUAACUUGCCACCUGAAUCCAAUCAUCCGUCUCAUAGGAAUUCAGUUAAUUCUUCGGUUGUAAUUCCCCAAUCUAAUGAUACAGAGGCACAUCGAUCAAUGCUCAGUGGCAUGUUCUCAUUUAUGAAGAAGACCUCUCGUGUGAGGCAUAAUCCAGAAUCUGAAGGAAUUUAUCUUAGCGAUUUAAAUUCCGAUGAAUUGGAUCCUGAAGUUGCAGCUCUUUAUUUUCCCUCUUCUCAUCGUGGAGCAACUGUGGUAAAAGAUGCAAAAGUAGUUGACGAAGAAGAUACCGAAUCCGGUAAUGGACCAAGUAUUCCGCAAAGUCCUAACAGCGUUGAAGGAGCUAUCGGUGGUCCAAAAUCGUUAGAUAGCGAUUUUGAAGAACCCAAAAAUUCUGUCUUCGAUAGUAAUUUUGAAAUUAGUCUUUCCUUGUGCGGUGGUUUGGAUACCGAAAGUGGCCCAUCGAAAGAAGCUUUCCACCAAAAUUUACUUCAUUAUGAAGAUAUUUGUUCCGAUCCGAAAUUAUACGAUAAUCCUAAUUUGGUGGUUAAAAUCAAUAACAAGUAUUAUAAUUGGGCUACUGCCUGUCCAAUUGUCAUGACAUAUGCUGUCUUUCAAAGACAUUUACCACAAAAUACUAUUGAAAAUUUGUACGCCCAAUGUAUGCCAUUACUGAUGCACGGAGAUAAAAAACAGUCGAGUACUGGAAAGGCUGAAGGUCGUAGUGGUUACAGUUCAUGGUUUUCAUGGGGUAGAUCUAACACUCAACCUAAAAAAUCUCAGGAAAUAAGUCAAGUUGAUGGACCACCCCUAAUUGGAGGAGAACAUUCUGAACAAGCAAUUGAGUGUAAGGAAACGAUUGUAAUAAGAGAAAUGCCUACAGAAAGUAAUAUUGAUCUCAAGACUGAUCCAAUUUCAACGAUUAUUUCUGUAACUAUGGAAACACAUGAAUUAAGGAAUACACCUACUGAUAGUUUGAUCAUGAAGACUGAAAAAUCAUGCGAAAGAGAAGGCGAAGGAUAUAGCGGUAGUGAAGAUUCAGAUAGUAAUCAAAACGAUAUGCAAGGUGUUAAAAUACCAAUUGAAAGAAGACUCUAUUACGAAUCUACCGAGAAGUAUAGAAAAACUUUAAGAUUGUCGUCUGAACAAAUAGCAAGUUUGAAUUUAAAAGAGGGCCCUAAUGAGGUAGUGUUUAGUGUUACAACGGCUUAUCAAGGUACUACUCGUUGUAAAUGUCAUAUCUAUAGAUGGAGAUGGGAUGAUAAAAUUGUAAUCUCAGACAUCGAUGGCACUAUUACCAAGUCCGAUGUUCUGGGCCACAUUUUACCAAUAGUCGGAAAGGAUUGGGCUCAGUCCGGGGUUGCUCAAUUAUUUACCAAGAUUAAGAACAAUGGUUAUAAAUUAUUGUAUCUUUCGGCUAGAGCAAUAGGUCAAGCUAAAGUAACAAGGGAAUAUUUGAAGAGUAUAAGGCAAGGAGAUUUGUCGCUUCCCGAGGGUCCUUUGCUUUUAAAUCCAACCAGUUUAAUAUCUGCAUUCCAUCGUGAAGUUAUCGAAAAGAAACCAGAAGAAUUUAAAAUAUCUUGUCUAAGUGAUAUUCAAGCACUAUUUCCAGAAGGCUCUAAACCAUUCUAUGCUGGCUAUGGUAACCGUAUUAAUGAUGUUUGGGCUUAUAGAGCUGUAGGCAUUCCUAUUAUGAGAAUUUUUACCAUAAACCAUAGAGGAGAACUGAAACACGAGUUGACGCAAACAUUCCAAUCAUCCUACGCGUGUCAGUGCGAUAUCGUCAAUGAGUUGUUUCCACCACUGCCCACGUCAAACGUCCAAUGAUGAUGACACAACCAUUUAGAUAGAAACGUAGAAAUGUAGGAUUAUUAGCGAAAUAGUUAGCUAAAUUGAAAAUGAGCACGAUGAAUUAAUUUUAAUCGUUGAGUCGUUAUAUAAUUAAUGGUAGCACAUAUAAAAUAUAUAAUAUUAUAUUAUGGGUAUAUAACUAUAUAGAAUAUAUACCAUUAAUUAAAGUCAAGUCAAAUCCCAGGGAAAAUUAAUUGCAUGAGAUUCUGUUGCAUAUAUAGAGUUGUUUUUAUAUAUAUAUAUAUAUAUAUACUUUAUUUAUUUGUUAUAAGAGUAUUUAUACGAGCAGAAAGAAAAAUCAGUAUUUUAAAUAUGAUGUAUAUUAAUUCUGCCAGUGUUUCUGUCAAAUGCAGAAAAUAUCGUUUCUCUUGUAUUAUAUACUUCCAAUAGGAGUUUAUAUUUCAAUUGUGAAAGAGCAUAUACAUCACAUUAUUUAUUUAGAAGUAUUGUGUCAUUGUAUUUUAAGGUAUUUUGGUUGUGCUACACUUGGUAUCGUCUUAUGAUUUCUAGGAUAUUCAAAUAUGAGCGUCAUAGUAGAUCAUCUAUUCCCAGCUUGGCGAGAGGAAGCUGCAGAUGAGUUCAGUAACUUUGCUUACUGGAGAGAACCGAUUCCUGAAUUACCUAAGCUCGAGGCCCAUUUUAUGCAAACCCAAGCAGUUUAAACGAAUAAUCUUUUCUUACCGGAGCAAUAAUAUUCGACUCGUAAAAAGAAAAAAAAAAAAAAA